CCGAACCGACUAAUGUUGAAAAAUUAGCGGAUGACCUGUGGCUGGGGGUGAAAGGCCAAUCAAACCGGGAGAUAGCUGGUUCUCCCCGAAAGCUAUUUAGGUAGCGCCUCGUGAAUUCAUCUCCGGGGGUAGAGCACUGUUUCGGCUAGGGGGCCAUCCCGGCUUACCAACCCGAUGCAAACUGCGAAUACCGGAGAAUGUUAUCACGGGAGACACACGGCGGGUGCUAACGUCCGUCGUGAAGAGGGAAACAACCCAGACCGCCAGCUAAGGUCCCAAAGUCAUGGUUAAGUGGGAAACGAUGUGGGAAGGCCCAGACAGCCAGGAUGUUGGCUUAGAAGCAGCCAUCAUUUAAAGAAAGCGUAAUAGCUCACUGGUCGAGUCGGCCUGCGCGGAAGAUGUAACGGGGCUAAACCAUGCACCGAAGCUGCGGCAGCGACACUGUGUGUUGUUGGGUAGGGGAGCGUUCUGUAAGCCUGUGAAGGUGUGUCGUGAGGCAUGCUGGAGGUAUCAGAAGUGCGAAUGCUGACAUAAGUAACGA
rnacentral:rRNA from 1 species